rnacentral:lncRNA from 1 species
GUUGCAGCACAAUAAAAUAGCAAUAAAUAGACCUAUACUCAAGUUAUUGUUCAUAAACUACAAAACCUAGAUUUUUAGGUUAUUUUCCAACGGUAAUUUUUAAAUGGUUUGGACCAUGACCCCCUAAAAUUUGCACCUGGAAGUUUGUGGUAUAAGUUCAUAGAUGUCUAUACUCUUGGCUCUUAUUAACAAAACCGUUACACUGGCAAGCGACUGAAUCAAUCCCAAAUCACUCAUUUCGUAGAUCCAUAUAUACACGUAUACUAAAGUUAUUGUCUGCAAACUAAUUUAUUUUCUAUGAACUGGUAAAAACUUACCUUUUUUGGGCUACUAAUAACAAAACUGCUACAAUACCCCCCAAAAUCAAUCACAACAAUUUUAUAGUGGACUGGAACCUUGAGCUUGAAUGUUAUAGAAAUCCAUACACUUAUACAAGUUAUUGUCUGUGAACAAAAAUAUCUUCAAACAAAACACAGACAACAUAACAUUAUAUUGACGUAUACAAAUAGCACUAACACAUACAUUCUUGUUUUGAGGCAAUUUAUAGAACUGCAUUCACUAUAAAUAUAACACAAUAAUUG